rnacentral:rRNA from 1 species
CAAUAGCGUAUAUUUAAGUUGUUGCAGUUAAAAAGCUCGUAGUUGGAUUUCUGGUGGGAGCGAUCGGUCUGGCGCUUAGCGCGAGUACUUGCAUCGUCUCCGGCCAUCCUUGGGGAGAGUCUGUCUGGCAUUAGGUUGUCGGGCAGAGGAUCCUCAUCGUUUACUGUGAAAAAAUUAGAGUGUUCAAAGCAGGCUUAUGCCGUUGAAUAUAUUAGCAUGGAAUAAUAAGAUAGGACUUUGGUACUAUUUUGUUGGUUUGCGCACCAAAGUAAUGAUUAAUAGGGACAGUUGGGGGUAUUCGUAUUCCGUUGUCAGAGGUGAAAUUCUUGGAUUUACGGAAGACGAACUACUGCGAAAGCAUUUACCAAGGAUGUUUNCAUUAA